rnacentral:rRNA from 1 species
UGGGGAAUAUUGGGCAAUGGGCGCAAGCCUGACCCAGCAACGCCGCGUGAGGGAAGAAGGCCUUCGGGUUGUAAACCUCUGUCCUAUGGGAAGAAAAAAUAGACGGUACCAUAGGAGGAAGCUCCGGCUAACUACGCGCCAGCAGCCGCGGUAAUACGUAGGGAGCAAGCGUUGUCCGGAAUUACUGGGCGUAAAGGGUGCGUAGGCGGUUGCUUAAGUCAGAUGUGAAAUACUCGGGCUCAACUCGGGGGCUGCAUCUGAUACUGGGUAACUAGAGUGCAGGAGAGGAAAGUGGAAUUCCUAGUGUAGCGGUGGAAUGCGUAGAUAUUAGGAGGAACACCAGUGGCGAAGGCGGCUUGCUGGACGACAGCUGACGCUGAGGCGCGAAAGCGUGGGGAGCAAACAGGAUUAGAUACCCUGGUAGU